UGGACAUGGGAUUAGGAGGCUUUCUGCUUCUGCCUACUUGGAUGUUUUCCAGGCAUGUCCUCCUCAGAGACCCAAGGACAGAUCUAGGACUUGCUGUAAAGAUUAUAUAUUUUUGGCAUGCCUUGGAUGUGUUCUCUCCAGCUCUUGGAAGACCCCCAGGAGGAGCUGGAGAGAGGGAUGUCUGGGAAUGUGUGGCUUUAGAAGGUGGCUGGGCUCACCCUGAGAGCAAGUGCGAUGCAGACGCAUCCAGAGAUGGCUUCAAAGGACAAUGCUGCUGCUCUGGAUUGAAGGGAUUCAGCUGAGGUGGUUUGGACAUCGGAUUAGGAGGCUCUGAUUUUCUCUACUUGGAUGUUUUCCAGGCAUGUCCUCCUCAGAGACCCAAGGACCGAUCUAGGACUUGCUGUAAAGAUUAUAUAUUUUUGGAAUGCCUUGGAUGUAUUCUCUCCAGCUCCUGGAAGACCCCCAGGAGGAGCUGGAGAGAGGGAUGUCUGGGAAGGUGUGGCUGGGCUCACCCUGAGAGAGCAAGUGCGACGCAGACGCAUCCAGAGAUGGCUUGAAAGGACGAUGUUGCUCCUCUGGAUUAAAGGGAAUCAGCUGAGGUGGUUUGGACAUCGGAUUAGGAGGCUCUGAUUUUCUCUACUUGGAUGUGUUCCUGGCAUGUCCUCCUCAGAGACCCAAGGACAGAUCUAGGACUUGCUGUAAAGAUUAUAUAUUCUUGGCGUGCCUUGGAUGUGUUCUCUCCAGCUCUUGGAAGACCCCCAGGAGGAGCUGGAGAGAGGGAUGUCUGGGAAUGUGUGGCUUUAGAAGGUGGCUGGGCUCACCCUGAGAGCAAGUGCGACGCAGACGCAUCCAGAGAUGGCUUCAAAGGACAAUGCUGCUACUCUGGAUUGAAGGGAUUCAGCUGAGGUGGUUUGGACAUUGGAUUAGGAGGCUCUGAUUUUCUCUACUUGGAUGUUUUCCAGGCAUGUCCUCCUCAGAGACCCAAGGACCGAUCUAGGAGUUGCUGUAAAGGUUAUAUUUUCAUUUGUGGAUUUUUGGCCUUUGGCCUUGUAUAUGUUCUCUCGAGCUCCUCCUGAAAUAACCCCAGGAGGAGCUGGAGAGAGGCAUGUCUGGGUCAGUAGGUUCGAGUUUUCCAGGAGGACCAGCAUGGGACGAUACCAGCCUGAAGCUGCUUCCUGGGUGACCUGCUUCUACCUCAGUCUGUGUGGAGCACUCCAUGUCCAUCAGAUCUCAUCGUGCAAACGACUGCUUCCCCACAUAAAGAUGUAUUCAAAGACUGGAGAGAGAAGGAUGGUGACUUUCUCCCCAGAUAACCAGCAUGUAGAACAACCUAAGGAGGAGAUGAACUUGGAAUAAACUUCAAUGUGGACAUGUGGAACCAGAACAUUUGGAGGAAGUUUGGAUUCAUCCACAUUCUCAGCCUGAACAUAGAUGACAUCUGCUGAAGGUCAUCAAAUACCUGAACCCAGAUGGUGUAUUAGACUGGAGGCAGCUUUGAAUCCUAGAACCUGACCAGACCCCAGACCCUCAUCAACCAGUAACCCUGACGAGGAGUGUUGAAUAACCCUUACAGAGCUGAGGUCUGAUGUCAUCUUCCUGGUUCAUGCGUCUGGACUGAAACCAUUUUUCUGAUGGACUGGAAGGUGGAGGUGCUGCUGGGAUGGUGUGACAUGGAUUUUUACUAUCCAAUCAGAACUGGGAUUCUGGAAAUAUUCUUUCUCUAAAACAUUUUCUACCACGGUGGUUGUACAUAGUGUAGUGUGGGUGUGUUGUGCUGACACCUGCCUGAUGUUCACCUGUGGUGGAAGUAAUAAGUCUCAGUGUUAGAGGGGAUAGAGGGGGGGUCGAGGAGGACUGGAGGUUGUGGCAAUUGAAGUAGAGGCACUGUGGUGGGUGGGUGCUGCUCGCAGCUUAUAGUGCUGCCGGCAGUGAAGACAGCUAAGUAGGGGAGCUGCAUCCUGCUGGUUAGGAGGGGAGGCUGGAUGCCUCCUUUAGGUAGCUAGGGACUGGGGAUUAGUUAGUGCCUUGCCUGCGUGUCACUGAGCGCCUUUAUCCAUCUUUGUGACUGUGGCACUAGAGACUCCGUGAUAUGUCCUCCUGUGAGUCAACAUCAUGUGAAACUACAGAAAUGAUGUAAUGGAAUAAACACUGAGUAUUUUUAUUAAACUAAAAGUUUGUCACGUCUGAUUUCUCUAACAUUUUUAAGCCUUACAUUAAUUAAAUUGCUGUUAUUUUCCAGAUGAAAAAUGGAGGGGGAAAUGCAUUCAAGUCAGCUUUAAAGUGCAUUUUGGAAACAAUCAGAACAGGUCUAUAUGUGCUAAUUCAUCUGCAGGUGAAGGUUCCUGCAGAGAUGAACAAGCUACUGAUGGACCUGAAAUGUGGUCCCAAACUAAACAUGUCAAUGGAUAAUGUUGCAGAGACACUGUAUGGGAGAGAUGUGCUGAGA